ensembl:lncRNA
ACAAAUUAUACUGUAGUCCCAGGAAAAUGGUUAAAUAGUGACAGCAUUUCACUAAAAGCAUCAGAUCUGCUAGCAACAUCCUUAAACAAACGAUCAGAAAGAGAGACCAUGGGUUUCAGUACCAUGGAAUUGCGAUAUUAUUACUAUGUAAAUAUUUAGGUUCCUUUGUUGUCUUACAUACCAGUGUUUGGUAGCUCUUGAUUUUCCUCACCUCCGUCAGGCUCCUAGUGCUCUGAUGACAUACAAACAACUGAUCUGAACAUCACUUCUGACAAUAGCAGCUAUGUAGCCUGGUGCUGAACACCAAAAGGUAUUGACAAGAAUCAAAUGAUCUGUAGGUAGAACAUCUACAGUAUGAUGAAAUAUUGAUUGAAUGCUGCAUAUACCACUGAAACUGAAACAGUAAACACGUAAACCAUUCUGAAUGCCAAUGCAACAGUGUUAAGUAGUUCCCACCUUCAUCAGCUGCGGACACCACACAAAGUU